AUACGUAGGGGGCGAGCGUUGUCCGGAAUGAUUGGGCGUAAAGGGCGCGUAGGCGGCCCGGUAAGUCUGGAGUGAAAGUCCUGCUUUUAAGGUGGGAAUUGCUUUGGAUACUGUCGGGCUUGAGUGCAGGAGAGGUAAGUGGAAUUCCCAGUGUAGCGGUGAAAUGCGUAGAGAUUGGGAGGAACACCAGUGGCGAAGGCGACUUACUGGACUGUAACUGACGCUGAGGCGCGAAAGUGUGGGGAGCAAACAGGAUUAGAUACCCUGGUAGUCCACACUGUAAACGAUGAAUGCUAGGUGUAGGGGGUAUCGACCCCUUCUGUGCCGCAGUUAACACAAUAAGCAUUCCGCCUGGGGAGUACGGCCGCAAGGUUGAGACUCAAAUGAAUUGACGGGG
rnacentral:rRNA from 1 species